UACGUAGGGGGCAAGCGUUGUCCGGAUUUAUUGGGCGUAAAGAGCGUGUAGGCGGCUUUACAGGUCCGUUGUGAAAACUCGAGGCUCAACCUCGAGACGCCGGUGGAAACUGUAAGGCUAGAGUCCGGAAGAGGAGAGUGGAAUUCCUGGUGUAGCGGUGAAAUGCGCAGAUAUCGUGAGGAAGACCAGUGGCGAAGGCGGGUCUCUGGACAGUUCCUGACACUGAGGCACGAAGGCUAGGGGAGCAAACGGG
rnacentral:rRNA from 1 species